UUCUAACCUGGUUUUAACCAGUUUCUAACCUGGUUUUAACCCGUUUCUAACCAGGCGCUGAUCUGCCUGGUGGAUAAGAAGACGGGCGAGAAGAGCAAGACGCGGCCGCGCUUCGUGAAGCAGGACCAGGUGUGCAUCGCCCGGCUGCGGGCCGCAGGCGUCAUCUGCUUAGAAACCUUCAAGGAUUUCCCCCAGAUGGGACGCUUCACUCUGAGAGACGAAGGGAAAACGAUCGCCAUCGGCAAAGUGCUGAAGCUGGUUCCAGAGAAGGACUAAACGCGGCGGCGCCGGCAUGCAUGGAGUUCCUCCACCUGUUAGCGGGCGGAGAAACAGCGCCAGACCCAACCGCCACUCUCUCUCUCUGUUUAAAAACACAACGUUACUGAAGAGAAGAAGAAGAGGAGGAGGAAGAGUGGAAUCAUGUCACGUGAAGAAAAAGAAACGAGACUGAAUCAGUUUUUUUAUGAACAUUAUAGAAUGAGAGCCCAAGUCCAGAGUGUCAGCUUUCUCAUAUUGAGAGCUCUGCUAUGCCACUAAUGUAGCUACACGCCCCCACCCCGUCACCAUGGUUACGCUGUCGGCUGGGCGCCAUGUUUGCUUUCAGGAUGGAGGUGGAUGAUGUCUAGUUCCUGCAGAAGCACCAGAGUUAGCUCGGUGUUCCACCGGCGCGGUUUCCUGCAGAUGCAUUGAUCUGAUUUUAGGGAAAGUUGCACCAGAUCUUUAGUUGGUUCUCUGGGUUAUCUGGACCGGGCUCACACACAGUUCUGCUGCUGACCCCAGGAUGGAAACAUGCUCACAUAAACAGGCACAGAGCUGUUACAUUAAUCCAGUCUGAAAAUAAACGGUCAACCUGAAA